rnacentral:pre_miRNA from 1 species
UGUAUGUGGGAUGCUGCCACAGCAUGGCUUGAUGCGCGGUCUGUAGGUCCAUAGCCAGGCCGAGCACCCGCAGUCCCAGGGCCACUGAAGUGGAGUGCAUGAACUCAGC